AGUGAACGCUGGCGGCGUGCCUAAUACAUGCAAGUCGAACGGAGUGGCGCACGGGUGAGUAAUGUAUAGCUCAUCUGCCCUACACUAGAGGACAACAGUUGGAAACGACUGCUAAUACUCUAUAGUGUAGGAUGAGGCUAUAUUGUAUCAGCUCGUUGGUGAGGUACUGGCUCACCAAGGCUAUGACGCAUAACUGGUCUGAGAGGAUGAUAAGUAACACUGGAACAGAGACACGGUGCAUACUCCGACGGGAGGCAGCAGUAGGGAAUAUUGCUCAAUGGGUGAAACCCUGAAGCAGUAACGCCGCGUGGAGGAUGACACUUUUAGGAGCGUAAACGCCUUUUGUUAGGGAAGCGGUACCUAACGAAUAAGCACCGGCUAACUCCGUGCCAGCAGCCGCGGUAAUAC
rnacentral:rRNA from 1 species